rnacentral:rRNA from 1 species
UACGAAGGGGGCUAGCGUUGUUCGGAAUUACUGGGCGUAAAGGGCGUGUAGGCGGUGUGUCAAGUCAGGCGUGAAAGCCCCGGGCUCAACCUGGGAACCGCGCUUGAGACUGGCACGCUCGAGUUCGGGAGAGGAUGGUGGAAUUCCCAGUGUAGAGGUGAAAUUCGUAGAUAUUGGGAAGAACACCGAUGGCGAAGGCAGCCAUCUGGACCGACACUGACGCUGAGGCGCGAAAGCGUGGGGAGCAAACAGG